AUUCUUGUACAGCGCUGCAAAAAUGUCAGACCCAACAAGACUGGAAAUGGCAUUGGCUGCAAUGUUCAGUGUCUACAUGUCCUACCAAGGAGAUGACAAAAAACUGACCAAAGAACAAUUUCUAAAACUAGUGAAGGAUGAACUACCCGUACUUGGUGAGGGAAAAAAUGAAGAUGAGCUCUUCAAGUGUGUCGACCACAAUGAUGAUAAACGUGUGGACUUUGAAGAGUUCGCCUCACUGGUUGCUGGUUGCGCCUGUGCAAGCCAUGACGCCCUCCAAAAGGUCGUGAAAGAACUGGAUUCAAAAGGCUUCCCAAAGUAAAGCACUGCUGAUGUGGAAAGAAACCCAAUAUAGGCCUUACCUGGAUUCACAUCAAAACAAAGUCUGUCAAAGACUGCGUUUGUUUUUUCUUUAACUUGAUUUGUCUUAGGGAUGGAUAGAAAUGUUUGCUAGUUGCCUAUUCACACCUCUGAACUAGUUGUUCCAUGUUAGGAUAUACCCAUAUUGCCCCCUAUUCUCACAUGGGCUUAAGAAUAUAACACUGAUGUUUGUGUCCACUGUACCUCCUUCAGGUAAUGCUGCCAUCUACUGUUAGAAAACUAUGCCUAUUGGCGGUAGUGUUCAAGUUACUAAUUAUUACUUUAAAGUAAUCCUGUCACUUUACUGAUUACUUUUGAAAAUAAGUAAUUAAUCUUUCAAAACAUGAUACACAACCUGAAAAGGUAAUAAAGCAAUAGAUCUUUUAGUCCAAUUCUACUUUUUCUGCAUAGUCCAUCAUAUAAAAUGUAAUCAAAUGAAUUUUAAUCAUAACUUCAUGCACAUUGCAUCAAGCAAAAAUUAAAUUAUAUGCAACAGUCUUUGACCUUAAGAAAUCUGUUUAACAUUUAAACCUAUUUUCUGCAUAUUCCAGCAUAUAAAAUAAAAUGUUUUGUGUUUACACCCACUCUUUCAAAUAGAUGCAAGUGUAAAACAGCAGAAAAUAAAUAAACGCGUUACUUGUAACAUGUUACUGUAACGCGUUACUGCCCAUCUCUGAUUAUAGGUAAUCCUUUCAGGACUAUAGGAAUGUGAAAUAUGUAAACCACUGAAACUGCUGGAUGAUAAAAUCCACCCAGAUUGUUUUUAAAGCCAUAAAGUUUACUACCUUUUUUUUUUUUUUUUUAACUAAGAAGUAGAUAAGCCUCUGAAUUCCUGACUUGACCUGUUUCUGAAUGGUUUCCUUCUAUCCAAAAAUACUAUUUGACACGACAUUCAACAAAAUACAAGCUUUCUUGUAAUUUACAUAGUCUUUAGUUCUCUAGGCUUCUGGAAGGACAUUCAAAGCUAUUCUUUGAAUGUUGGCUGCCUAUUGCUCUGUAAAGAUGAUCCAAAGCUGCUUCAAUAAGGUACAGGUCUGGGGGCUGAGGCCAGUCGAUAACUGAUAGUAAUCCAGUUUUUGGAAAUGCAUUUGUUUCCAAAAACGUUUGUUUUCAGGGUAAACUGUGUAGUUUAAUUGAAUGGUAUACAUUCAGUUAGACCAAGCAUAUGUUCUUAAUCAUUCAUUAUUUGAAUAAAUAUUCUAUUUUUUAUAUUUCAGUUGUAUUUUAGUACACUACUUAUUUUAUUAUUGCUUCGUGCUUAUGAGGGCCAAUGAUUUAAUUUUAUUUUUUAUAUUGUAUUUGUACAUCUAUCACUUUUAAGAAGCCCCAACACCAGAGGCUGAAAUGCAGCCCCAGACCAUGACAGAGCCACCACCAUAUUUUAUGGCUGUAGACACAGUGCAAAUAUUGAUGUAAAGUUCUUCCUACGACGGGUAUGUGGAGACCUGGUUUGUCAGGUUUUUCAGUACACACUUGUGAGAAUUAGAAGACUAAUGACAACGAUUUUGAUGUUUGCCAGGAAUUACUCAAGCCUUUCUUAAGAAGAACUAUGGCCUUAAUUUAAAUAUAUAGCUUAAAUAUAAGUCCCACAUUCCUGUAGCACCAACAAAAUGUAUUUGAAGUAUCCAAAAUAAACAAAAUGACAUCUUGUGUAAUGUCACUUUAAUAAUUUUAUUACAUUAACCUGUGUUAGACUAGCAGCCUGUCCAGGGUGUACCUUGCCUUUCACCCAGUAAAAACUCGGCUCCAGACUAACCACAACACUGACCUGGAUAAGUGGUUAAUUAUUAAUAGAAUUAUUAUUAUUGACAGUAAUAUAAUUAUUAUUAUAUGGAAGCCAAGUAAAGCACAAGGACUUAGGUAAGUGCAGGAUGGAAACGUGCGUGGUGUACUCAGUUGCUGGUUAUGUUUUUUUGGCAACAAAUCUGUGUGAAACUUGUUACUGUUUGUCCUGGUUUCAACUUUUUCAGAUGAAAUGAAGUAUUUAUUUCAAACCCUUAUCAUAGGAUCAUUCUUUGGAUCGUCUGUCUCUGUCCAUAUCUUCCCUGCACUCUUCCACUCUAUACACCAAUAAUUGAUAUAGUCAUUUUUCUGCCAUAAUGUGUUUACGGUUCUUCGAACCCUCCCUGCAAAAGAUCACCUUUUCAGAAAACUGCUUCAAGAAAUCACUACUAAUGGAGUCUGAUAAUAAGAAGAGAACUGGUUUAACCAAGAAACAAAACUGGAAAUCUGGACUGACGAGUUAUUAGAAAAAGAGAGUUAGUCAAGUACUGUAUUUGUAGGUCUUUCAGUUAAAAUGAUAUAUUUAAGGAUAACAGCAAGAAAAAUAGUAAGGUAGAGGUUAAAAAAGGUAGUAGAGGUUAAAAGUGUGCUGGCAGAAAUUUGGGUUAAAAAAAAUAGAUAGAUAUUCAGUUUGUUAUUUGCUUAAUAAACUUUUUAAACAGGUUUACAAUAUUUUAGUUUUCUUGUUAAGCACUGUGUAUGUCUGUUUUUACACAUUUUUCUACUGUCCUUUAUAUGGGACAACAGAUUAGGAUUACAGGAUUAGGCUAAUAAAGUAAAAAGCACUUCCACUUUGAUCAGCUAUGAGAUUAACAUGAAACCUAACAUUAAUACAUAGCGAGAUCAAAUAGGUUAAAAUAACAAAAAGUUGAGUGCAGGAAACAUUGCAAUAAAGUAUUUUGGUGAUUUUCAUGUUAAAUUAUGUUUUUUUUUCUCCUUUGUUAAUAAAAUGAGAUACAAACGGAUCGGUUUGUUAUUCAGACACAGCUUUAACACUGGGUCCAAAGCGUACCAUUUGUAAUACCCUGUUUUCACCACAAUGUGGCGCACUGUAUCCAUCCAGCUAUCUGUCGUCCAUCUUUGAUAUAAAAAGCAUUUCAGGAUAAUAGGAGUAAAGGUUCACCUUAUGAUAGGAAUAUAAAUGCAGAUAAUAUGAGACAAAACAGUCCUUGAAACCACACUGGCUGGAUUGCCUCUGUUGUGAAUGAUAGCGAUAGUUUACAGAAUUGAGCUUGUACUCAGCAGAAUGCUGCUGAUUGGCUCUU
rnacentral:lncRNA from 1 species